GCUGUUUCGUGAUGGGCAAAGAUGAAGCGGACACUUGUUGAUAGAAGUCACACCUGAGUCUCAAAACGGGCAGGGAAUAUUUGUGUUUGUGUUAUCAACACUCCAAGAGUCUCUGUGAGAUGUGUUGAUUCCAAGUAGCAGGGAGGAUGUGGAACCCAUCACAUGUUCAGUUUACUGUUCUUAGAGCACGGAAUCUGAUCAGCAAAGGAAAAGGAGGUAACAAUGAUGUGUUUGUCACCAUACAGCUGGGAAAGGAGAAGUAUCAGACAUCCACCAUCAAGAACGCUCACAACCCAGAGUGGUUCGAGGAAUGUGAUCUUCCCAUCCCGCACAUGCACUCUGAGAUUGAGGUGAACAUCUACCACCGAGGGGUCCUGUCUGAUGACUUCCUGGGGUACGCCUCCAUCCCCAUGUGGGACCACAAGGUCGGAGAGAGGCCCAAGAGUCAAUGGGUGACGUUGAAGAACAAGCCAUCUAAGGGUCAGGACAACAAGUUGCGAGGGGAACUAGAGGUCAAGCUGACCUUUCACGUGGAGAGUCGGACGACCACGGGACCAGGACUUAAGAAACGGUCGUCUUCAAUACGGAACCUGGCCAAUGCCGUGGGUGACAAGUUAGGUCUGUCAAGAAGCAGAUCUUUUCGAGAAAACAGAAAAGACCCAGAAGGAAGCAAAUCUGAUCGUCGUCAAUGGCGACCAGGAACCGAUCCCCUUUUUGAGGAAAAUAAGGAGGCCAACUCUGCGUACCUGCGUCGGACGUCUAGCUCGCACCCUAACCUUCGCCAUGUCGGACAAUCACCCAGCAAUAAUUUCCCAGCGCUCGAUGUCGAGCGAUCUAGCUGGACACCUAACGAUCAGUCCGGGGAGUCGCUGUCUCGGAGCUACAGCAUGUCGGCAGCCUACAUCAAAUCCAUGUCCUUGGACCGUGGCAGCCGCAACAUCAACAACAACCACACCCACUCCCAGGAUUUUGUACAGGCCACAGACACCCCACCGGCAGCUCUGUACUUGCCGGGAAACAGAAGAAGCUGUGUGGAGUUCUCCCACUACACUCUCCCACCACCUCCGUACAACCCACAGCAAGUGUCCCAGGACGAUACAGCCAUAAUAAUGCAUGGCCCCAUGCGUACCCUUGCCCCUCGAACACAGCUGGGUUCUACCUCCUCGUACGUGGAAGCCAUCAAGAAACGCGAACGAUCGUUGUACGAGAGUAUUAAGGAACGAACUGAACCUGAGGAGUCGUCCUCGUCAGAUGAGGUCGAUGCUGGUUUGGCCCGAGCCAGACCACGGCGACUUUUUCUCCGGGACCUUAAUCGGGAAAACGAUGCGGAUGUGGAGAGUAUGAGUGAAGUGCCAGUGAAACAGGGGGUGAUGCAGAACGGGACUGGGGAAUCAGGGGAGACAACUUCGGGCCCUAGUGUAGGGAAUACUGGAGAUUCGGUUGCUGAAAAUGGUCACAGAGAUUCACGCCCGGAAGGGAUGCCUAAUGGGCAUACACGGCAGGAAUACGAUCAGCACCAUCCCUCUAAUAGCAGGAAAGUUGUGUCGGUCAGAGAUGACCUGUCCAAAACCGUGCAGUCUCUGAGGAGGGAGAAUAGUCAGGGGGAGGUUGCCCUCAGAAAGAAGUCCAAGAAAGACAGGAUCAGGAAACUCAAUAAACAAGGCCGGCGGUACACAGUGCAAGGCCUGGACUUCCGGCCCCCGGGGCUGUAUGAUGACAGCUUCUCCGACAUGAGCGACUCCACCAAACACAACACCCCCAACAUCGCCCACGAGGACCUCAUGGCCAUGUACAGAAACCUCACCAAAGACGAACUUGUCCAUAUAGUCAUCCAGAACAAAGCACAGAUGAUUCGUAAAGAUCGCUACAUCGGUGACCUUGAGAACUACAUCGAUGACCUUCUUGUCCGUGUGAUGGAGACCCAGCCACGACUGUUACACCGAGCACGCCCACCCCGACGUUAACUGCCAUGCUAACUGCCAUAUCAAACUAACACUGCUCUACCAUACGAUAUCAUGAACAUAGUAAUAUGGGAAGAAGAAUAUCUGUGUUUUGACACAGAGUUUGUUGUGAAUGUGAAGACACUAAUACAGUUUACGGGAUAUAAAUUUUAUGUAAGACUUUUUUAAAAUAUCAAAAAGGAUUGAUGCAUCAGCCAAUGAGUUAUGGUAUAAUCUGAGAUGUGGAACACCAAGGUGAAAACAGUUCCAUGAUGAACCGGUGCUCUGCGAUAUUAAUGUCUACUAUAUGAUACACAAUUUGCUUAACUCUGUAUUGGUGCAAACAAUUUCAUAAAUUGUUCCAGUUACCUGUAAAACGUUGCCAGGUUACCUUUAUUCUGUUACGUCAAAAUAAGAAUGUUAUUGUCAUGGGUACUCCUAAAUGGUGCAUUGUAACACAUAUAGUGUCGUGAAAAAUGUAUUGCAAUUCAUCUACCCUGUUUGGGUGUAUGUAUUUUCAUCACCAUCUUCCCGAGACUAGUGCCUUAACUGACUAUAAAAGUCCAGUUUCCACCCUUGCCGAACUUGGCUGGAAAUUCCAGGCUCAAUCAUAGUGCCACCAGUGGCUAUUACAAGUUUUGUCACUUCUGUGUCCCUCCUAUUGACCAAUCAGAUUCCAUCACUUGCAUUGUAUCAAACAAAAUGGUGGCACCCUGUCCAGGCAAUCUGUUGGAUAAUCAAGGUCUAUAUUGUGAAAAAAAGAGGCUUACCGUACGAAGUUUAAGAUUAAAAACAUGAAUUGAUUUGCAAAAUAUCUGUCAUCUCCCAGCACUCAGUAAACAUGCUUUGCAAAUCCUGCAGUCGACCAAAAUCUGCAUGUUGAAAUCCAUGUUGUUCACGAACCGGAUGUCUAGUUAAUUUCGAAAUUUUGAUUGGUCUAUGCAUUGACCCGUUAGUCCAACCAAACUGUAACUCCAGAAUUCCAGCCUAGUUCAGCAAGGGUGGAAACUGGACUAUUACAGUCAGUUAAUGCCCUUGCUUCAGGAAGAUGUCUCAUCACUGACUAUUCAGAACAUAUGUACACAGAGGGCAUGAAAACUAACCUCCAACUGUAUUUUGUGUCAGUGAUGCUCAUGUGUCAUUAGUCAUUCCGUUACAAGAAAAAAAUUCACAUUACCUGAAAAAAAGAAAGAAGGUGUCAUAAUAAUGACCAAUGUGUUAGUGCUCCAUUAGAAGUCUCCCUCACAUCCACAUGAGGAUAGGAUUGUUUAAAAGUUGGGUGUCCUGAGAUCCUUUGCUGCUCUGGUGUUUUAACCAAGAGACCCUAUGUUUUAACGUUUACUACUAGGGUGAUGACAAGUGUCCCUCAAUUUUGUCCUGGCGCAUUUGUGUUGCGAAUGAACCCUAUGUGGAUUCCAGAUAAAAAUUUGUCCCUAGAAACAUUUGCUGGUGAUUGACAUCAGGACCUCUGUUUUAAUAUCAAUCUUUGGUUUGUCUGUGUCCAGAGAAAUAGAUGGAAAAUUAAGUUAAUCUGUUGAAUACCAAAUAAGAAUAUCGACUGGCUCAUCAGCUAGCCAUGAACCAAGGGACAAGUGGAUGAGUCAGUCAGGACCCGUUAUUUCGAAGUACGUGUACAGGGAACAUCCUGUAACCUGCUGUAAACCAGUGCUGAACAAGUGAACCCAAUCUCGGGAUUUACUUUCAUAAACAUUCCAAGAGAACAAAUAUCACUUUUUAUGUUUUUAUGUGUUUUUUCUCAACGACCACAUCCCAGUAAGGAAGGAAGGCCAAUGCUCACAUUAAGUCAGACAUUAUAUAUAUCAUGCAUGAUACAUAUUUUUGUAUAUGUUUACGGUGUCCUGUGUUGUCCACAAGACCUAGGUCAUUGUGGCCUCUACAGCCCUGAGUGUCGUGUGUUGUCAACAAGACCGAGGUCAUUGUGGCCUCUACAGCCCUGAGUGUCGUGUGUUGUCAACAAGACCGAGGUCAUUGUGGCCUCUACAGCCCUGAGUGUCGUGUGUUGUCAACAAGACCGAGGUCAUUGUGGCCUCUACAGCCCUGAGUGUCCUGUGUUGUCAACAAGACUGAGGUCAUUUUGGCCUCUACAGCCCUGAGUGUCCUGUGUUGUCAACAAGACCGAGGUCAUUGUGACCUCUACAGCCCUGAGUGUCUUGUGUUGUCAACAAGACCGAGGUCAUUGUGACCUCUACAGCCCUGAGUGUCGUGUGUUGGUCAGUGCUAACUAGUGUGUUACAGUCUCACCCUCAGACUCAUGAUUCAGCAUUUUACAUUACAUGUGGAUAUGAAUUGAAUUUUAUUCAUCAAGCACUUUCUUUUUAAUUGCAUUUUUUAAUUACUUUUUUUUAAUUAGGUCGAUACAAAGUCUUAUGAUUCUGUUUGUUUUGUUUGGCCAAAAGCACAAUCUAAGGCCGUAGUUAACUUUUUUUUACCCCAACUUGAUUCAAAUAAACUGUUUUCUAUAAAAAAUCUAGGGGGGCAACUGCCCCCCCCCCCCCCCCCCCCCCCCCAGGCUGGCUAUGGCACUGCAAUGUAGUGUGAUUACAUUUUUAUUCUUUUUUCUUUGUGUGUGUAUGUGUUUUAGGGGAAGGGGGUGGCAAGAUAGCAUAAUAGCUUUAUAUUACUAUUGCACCUGGGGUUGGCACAUUAGAGUUACAUAUUGAAAACAAGCCAGAUCCUGUGGUCAAAAUUUAUUUAUUUUAUUAUUAUUAAAUUGGUUUUGGAAAGAAACAAAUCUGAAAAACAAGUAACUGCAAAAGAAGGCCUCAGUUAUGAAAUGAACUUUUGGAUAAUUGUUCACUGUUCGUAAGGAAUAUCCACACUCCAUGGCAAAUGGUGAUGGUGAGAAAAGCACAGGAGCUUGCUGCAUGUCGGGUGAUGGAAAACUACAGUAAAGCUUGGUUAUGUGGGUGUGUUGUCUGUACAUCAGGGAAGGGAAAAACACAUACCAAAUAAUACACCUGUGGUGCACAGUAUGUCGAAACUUAGAAACCUAGCUGAAAGGGCAAUGGAAUUAAAGAGGGGUUAUAGUCCAACUUACAGGCCUACAAGUAAUCUGACAGUUACUGAUGAACCCCCACAGAGACAGUGUUGCAGCCUCACACCUGCCACUAGAACUAAUCACAUUUUGCCAUAGGACUGUGGUGUGGUUGCUAAAUGUAUGGAUUGACUGAUGUAAUGGCUGGAGGUGGGAUGCUCUGUCAUAGCGGCCUGAGCUUUAUAUGUUUUGGCCAAGACAGAAAAAUAUUUUGUGACAUGUAGUUUUAUUACGACCAGGGUAACAAUAUAUGUUGACGUCAAAUAGACUAAAUUAGGCCAUGUUUUGGUUUUAUGGAAGAGUGAAGCAAGUCUUUUUUAUUUUUUUACCAAGAUGUAGUUUGUUGGGGUAAUAAUUUCACAUUCUCCCUGAGAUUGAUUCAUAGAUAGUUUAGAAGCUUCUACAGAUGAAGGGGGCACAGGUAGGGCUAGCUAUCUUAAGGCCUACAAUUUGCUGUGCAGAGUUAUGUCCCUUUGGUGUGCAAGAAUCCUGUGAUCAGGGGUUUCAGACCUAUAUUCACCUCGUUUAUGAUUAUUGGCUUCUUAACACGGUCGGGUAGCCUGUUAGUUAAAGCGUUCACUCAUCACGCCGAAGACCCGGGUUCGAUUCCCGACAUGGGUACAAUGUAUGAAGCUCAUUUCUGGUGUCCCCGGCUGUGAUAUUGCUGGAAUAUUGUUAAAAGCGGCGUAAAACCAUACUCACUUGCACCAAUGCUGUAAAUGGCCAAGACCAUCUGUUUGAGGUUUACGCUCAAACUUUGUUGACACACCACGAUAUAACCCAGAGUUGGAGUAUGUAUUCCUGAAUAUGUUGAAGUACCUAAAAUGUGCCUUCCAAAACAACAGAUGUUUUUUUAUCUGGUAAACAAUCAUGAUGCAUAAUCAGGACUUUGACAUUCCACAUGUAAGUGUGCCUUCCGUGAACAUUUAUUUUGCAAAUUGUCAUUUUUUGUGUGGAUUUAUGUACAGAUAUUAUUUUUGAUUUAUAUUUUGUGGUCAUUCGGCAAGAGCCAGUAACAUCAUACAAACCAAAGUCAGAUAUUUCUGUGAGCUAUUUGAAUGUCUGUGUAUUGUGUUGCUGUAAUGUCAAGGUCAAGGUCAAGGUCAUGGACUAUUGACCCAUAUAGAUAGAAAAUACUCAAGACUACCUUUUCAUUUACUGGUUGUAAAUAGUCAUCAGUUUCAAAUCACCCCAUUUGUGAAAACUGUGUGAUUUUCUUUCAUUCAUGGUGUCCAAUGUGAAUAGAUAUUUUUUGAGUGAAACAAUGUGAUUUCCUGUGAGGUUGAUACAGCAACUGAUAUCUGUGUAUUAGUCUUGCCAUGUUUAUAAGUUUGAUAGACAAGGAAUAUCUGAUCUCACAACAUCAUAAUGAGUGCCAUAUAGAUGUUUAGAUAGAACACCGGUUUUGAUAAUUUGUUCUUUAUUUCGUAGUCCAUACUCUCUACAAUUGUAAAGGAAUAGUCACUUAUUACGUACUGGUAUUCAAAAGCUCCUGUUCUUAAUCCCAAUGUAUGAGAUAAGCUAGUCCUAUUUAUAGCAAUACGUAUGGAGGUACCUACGCAUAAUAUACAGAUAUUUGCUGGAGAAAAUUCCAUGAUCCUUUUUCAUUAAGAACCAGUGUUAAGUAUACCUUUAUACAGUAAGUAAUGUAUAUUUUGGACAGGCUCGAUGUGUAACAUAUGCAUUUGAGAUUUUUAAUGAUCUGAUUUUUUAAUUUGUAUGUUUUGACUUGUUUCUGCUUUUACUUAUUUAUUCGUCCUCUGUGCAAUCUAUCACUUGUUUAUACGACACGUUCUCUGUAUAUAUUAGUGCAGGUCCAUACAAGUUGACACAGCCCUCUUCGUUGUAUGUGUGAUAUAUUAGUGCAGGUCUACACAAGUGCUUCACAACAGACCUGGUCAAUCAAUAGAGCUGCAGUUAUCUUUUAAUGGUUGUGUUAUUAUUUGUGAAGAUGGAAAUUGUCAGCUUCCAGUUUCAUAUUAAGGGGUCCUUGAAGACAGUGUUUCUACCCAUGAUGCAGUGUUCAACAUGGUUACUGUUUCUUAUGUUCAUUAAUAACAAGUAAUGAUAUUUCUUAUAUAUAUUAGGGCUAAGUCUUAUAUAUUAGGGCUGAGGCAAGUCCAAAUUUACUACCCAGGGACCCGACCCCCUCUUACCCUACCCUACCCUACCCUACCCUACCCUACCCUACCCUACCCUACCCUACCCUACCCU
rnacentral:misc_RNA from 1 species